UACGUAGGGGGCAAGCGUUGUCCGGAAUUAUUGGGCGUAAAGAGCUCGUAGGCGGUUUGUCGCGUCUGCUGUGAAAACUCGGGGCUUAACUCCGGGCCUGCAGUGGGUACGGGCAGACUAGAGUGCGGUAGGGGGAGACUGGAAUUCCUGGUGUAGCGGUGAAAUGCGCAGAUAUCAGGAGGAACACCGGUGGCGAAGGCGGGUCUCUGGGCCGUAACUGACGCUGAGGAGCGAAAGCGUGGGGAGCGAACAGG
rnacentral:rRNA from 1 species